rnacentral:lncRNA from 1 species
UUUAGCCUAGGAGUGUGUCACACCCCAAAACCACGAACGGCGGAAACGUUAAGGGGUGGAGGACGUCAUGUACAGUAUCACAACAGUGUAAUAUAAUAAACAAGCAACAACAUCAUCCAUUGCAUUAUAAGUAAAGUUUUAAUACAUGUGUGUUCUUUCAAUGUAGUAAGACACCAAAAAUAUACAAUCAAAAUAAAAGACGUGACUUGUCUGCUCCGUCUUCUCAAAACCUGGCCAUCGUACCUGUCUACUGUUGACCUGAGAAUACAAGUUAUUUUGAAGGAGAGUAUCAGCUUUAAAGCUGGUGAAUUCAUAAGUAAUUAAGUGUCAUUGUCUUGCUUAUGAAAAUCUGUUAUGAAGGCCAUGUAAACCUUUAAAUGAAAAUGUUGAUGUAUGUAUGAAAACCCUAGAAAAUCCCUUAUUUUCUAUCAGUUUGAGAUGUGGUCUUCUACCAAGACCCGAAUGUUUUGUUUUUGACAAUGUAGCCUUCUACCAAGACCCGAAUGUUCUGUAAGUAAAAUGAUAGCUUUUCCUUUUCUAUUGACUAGUACUAAAAGUGCUUAGUCUAACUCAUCGUUUAUGUGAAUAUAUCACAAAAUAAAGUAAAGUAGGAAAAAUAUAAUUAUGUAAGUAUUACCCUUGGGUAACUAGGGAUAACACGACAUCGAUGAAGCGAAAGGUAUAACCUAAUGAACAUCCGAAGAUUGUUCAAUUAACCUAUGUGGCGAACUGUAGGUUCCAGGAGUGGUUAGUCCCGUAACUGACUUUACAUCGCUGUAGUCGAAGUAAAUAACCUAAUGAACAUCCGAAGAUUGUUCAAUUAACCUAUGUAGCGAACGGUAGGUUCCAGGAAUGGUUAGUCCCGUAACUGUCUCCUAAUAUAUGUAAUAACAACCCAAUGAACAUCCGAAGAUUGUCCAAUUAACCUCUGUGGCGAACACUAGGUUCUAGGAAUGGUUAGUCCCGUAACUGACUCUACAUCGCUAUAAUCGAAAUAGAUAACCUUAUGAACAUCCGAAGAGAUUCCAAUUAACCUCUGUAGCGAACAAUAGGUUCCAGGAAUGGUUAGUCCCGUAACUGACUCCCGUUGAACUGGGAUGGGCUGGAAUGAUUUACUGAAGGUACUAAUAAAUCAUCGUUACGAAUCGAGUUUCAAGUAUUCAUGUAAGUAU